GACGAACGCUGGCGGCGUGCUUAACACAUGCAAGUCGAACGGAAAGGCCCUGCUUUUGUGGGGUGCUCGAGUGGCGAACGGGUGAGUAACACGUGAGUAACCUGCCCUUGACUUUGGGAUAACUUCAGGAAACUGGGGCUAAUACCGGAUAGGAGCUCCUGCUGCAUGGUGGGGGUUGGAAAGUUUCGGCGGUUGGGGAUGGACUCGCAGCUUACCAGCUUGUUGGUGGGGUAGUGGCUUACCAAGGCUUUGACGGGUAGCCGGCCUGAGAGGGUGACCGGCCACAUUGGGACUGAGAUACGGCCCAGACUCCUACGGGAGGCAGCAGUGGGGAAUAUUGCACAAUGGGUGGAAGCCUGAUGCAGCAACGCCGCGUGCGGGAUGACGGCCUUCGGGUUGUAAACCGCUUUCGCCUGUGACGAAGCGUGAGUGACGGUAAUGGGUAAAGAAGCACCGGCUAACUACGUG
rnacentral:rRNA from 1 species